AGAGUUUGAUCAUGGCUCAGAACGAACGCUGGCGGCAGGCUUAACACAUGCAAGUCGAACGAGUAAGAGCCGUAGCAAUACGGAGUUCUGCUAGUGGCGCACGGGUGAGUAACGCGUGGGAAUAUGCCCUUUAGUACGGAAUAACAGUUGGAAACGACUGCUAAUACCGUAUACGCCCUUCGGGGGAAAGAUUUAUCGCUAAAGGAUUAGCCCGCGUGAGAUUAGGUAGUUGGUGGGGUAAUGGCCUACCAAGCCUACGAUCUCUAGCCGGUCUGAGAGGACGAUCGGCCACACUGGAACUGAGACACGGUCCAGACUCCUACGGGAGGCAGCAGUGGGGAAUAUUGGACAAUGGGCGAAAGCCUGAUCCAGCCAUGCCGCGUGAGUGAUGAAGGCCUUAGGGUUGUAAAGCUCUUUUGUCAGGGAAGAUAUUGACGGUACCUGAAGAAUAAGCACCGGCUAACUUCGUGCCAGCAGCCGCGGUAAUACGAAGGGUGCUAGCGUUGUUCGGAAUUACUGGGCGUAAAGCGCGCGCAGGCGGUCUAUCAAGUCAGAGGUGAAAUGCCGAAGCUCAACUUCGGAACUGCCUUUGAAACUGUUAGACUAGAAUAUGGGAGGGGAUAGCGGAAUUCCUAAUGUAGAGGUGAAAUUCGUAGAUAUUAGGAGGAACACCGGUGGCGAAGGCGGCUAUCUGGCCCAUUAUUGACGCUGAGGCGCGAAAGCGUGGGGAUCAAACAGGAUUAGAUACCCUGGUAGUCCACGCUGUAAACGAUGAGUGCUAGCUGUUGGGACCUUAGGUCUCAGUGGCGCAGCUAACGCAUUAAGCACUCCGCCUGGGGAGUACGGUCGCAAGAUUAAAACUCAAAGGAAUUGACGGGGACCCGCACAAGCGGUGGAGCAUGUGGUUUAAUUCGAGGCAACGCGAAGAACCUUACCAGGACUUGACAUGUCCAGUUUGGAUUUCAGAGAUGAUUUCCUUCAGUUUGGCUGGCUGGAACACAGGUGCUGCAUGGCUGUCGUCAGCUCGUGUCGUGAGAUGUUGGGUUAAGUCCCGCAACGAGCGCAACCCUCAUCUUUAGUUGCUACCAUUUAGUUGAGCACUCUAAAGAAACUGCCGGUGAUAAGCCGGAGGAAGGUGGGGAUGACGUCAAGUCUUCAUGGCCCUUAUGUCCUGGGCUACACACGUGCUACAAUGGCAGUGACAAUGCGCCGCUACCUCGCGAGGGGAAGCUAAUCGCAAAAAGCUGUCUCAGUUCGGAUUGUACUCUGCAACUCGAGUACAUGAAGUUGGAAUCGCUAGUAAUCGCGCAUCAGCAUGGCGCUGUGAAUACGUUCCCGGGUCUUGUACACACCGCCCGUCACACCAUGGGAGUUGGUUCUACCUUAAGCUGCUGUGCUAACCGCAAGGAGGCAGGCAACCACGGUAGGGUCAGUGACUGGGGUGAAGUCGUAACAAGGUA
rnacentral:rRNA from 1 species